rnacentral:rRNA from 1 species
AACGAACGCUGGCGGCGUGCCUAACACAUGCAAGUCGAACGGGGUAGAGGGGCUUGCUCCUCUAUCUAGUGGCGCACGGGUGAGUAACGCGUAGAUAAUCUGCCUGAUGAUCUGGGAUAACAUCUCGAAAGGGGUGCUAAUACCGGAUAAGCCCACGGGUACUUUGGUGCUUGCGGGAAAAGGGGGGACCUUCGGGCCUUCUGUCAUCAGAUGAGUCUGCGUACCAUUAGCUAGUUGGUAGGGUAAAGGCCUACCAAGGCUACGAUGGUUAGCUGGUCUGAGAGGAUGGUCAGCCACACGGGAACUGAGACACGGUCCAGACUCCUACGGGAGGCAGCAGUGGGGAAUUUUGCGCAAUGGGCGAAAGCCUGACGCAGCAACGCCGCGUGAGUGAUGAAGGCUUUCGGGUCGUAAAGCUCUGUCAGGGGGAAAGAAGUGUAUUGUGGCUAAUAUCCACGAUACUUGACGGUACCCCCAAAGGAAGCACCGGCUAACUCCGUGCCAGCAGCCGCAGUAACAC